CGUUUGAGUUUACUUGGAUAGAUAAUCACUUGACCUUCCUUCUUUCUUUCCCAAAGACACAAAGCUUCUGUAGAAUUCCUUUUUCUUUUCCUAAAGAGACGCUGUCCAUGGAGCUUGAGCGGUUCUCUGAUUAACUUAACAAAGUUAAUCGCUUGUUCUUCAUAAAAAGUACGGAGCUUACUCUCCACUUCCGUUGAUGUUUGAAUCGGAAAUUUCAAGAUUUUCUUCGAAUAAUACCCAGAAGGAAGAUUAAUAUUAUUGAAGCAAAGGAUGCAUGAAGCGGAAUUAACGUGACUCUAUAGAUUUGAUUCAAUAUACCGCUUCAAUGCUAAAUUUUUUGACAGGGUGUACAGCUUGAACAAGCAUUAUUAAUCUCCUUUUGACAUGUACCCCACACACUAAUUUAGAUAUGCUGCAAUCAAAGUUGUGGGCUGUUUUUGGAUAUGAUGAAAAAAAAUUGCUGCAAAAUGCUGGCAUAGAAGAAAGAUGAGUAGGUGUUACACUAAGCUUCUUCUGAACAUAAGCUAAUUUUCACUAUGUACAGUUGUACACACUUUUGUAUAUGUAAGAAAAACAAAGUCGAUGUAAUUAAUAAUGAUGAACUGUAGGUAAAUAUUCUAAUUA